rnacentral:rRNA from 1 species
AACGAACGCUGGCGGCAUGCCUAACACAUGCAAGUCGAACGAGACCUUCGGGUCUAGUGGCGCACGGGUGCGUAACGCGUGGGAACCUGCCCUUAGGUUCGGAAUAACUCCCCGAAAGGGGUGCUAAUACCGGAUAAUGUCUUCGGACCAAAGAUUUAUCGCCUUUGGAUGGGCCCGCGUUGGAUUAGCUAGUUGGUAGGGUAAAAGCCUACCAAGGCGACGAUCCAUAGCUGGUCUGAGAGGAUGAUCAGCCACACUGGGACUGAGACACGGCCCAGACUCCUACGGGAGGGAGCAGUGGGGAAUAUUGGACAAUGGGCGAAAGCCUGAUUCAGCAAUGCCGCGUGAGUGAUGAAGGCCUUAGGGUUGUAAAGCUCUUUUACCCGGGAUGAUAAUGACAGUACCGGGAGAAUAAGCUCCGGCUAACUCCGUG